rnacentral:rRNA from 1 species
UGGGGAAUUUUGGACAAUGGGCGAAAGCCUGAUCCAGCCAUGCCGCGUGAGUGACGAAGGUCUUCGGAUUGUAAAGCUCUUUUGGCGGGGACGAUAAUGACGGUACCCGCAGAAUAAGCCCCGGCUAACUUCGUGCCAGCAGCCGCGGUAAUACGAAGGGGGCUAGCGUUGUUCGGAAUUACUGGGCGUAAAGCGCACGUAGGCGGAUUUGUAAGUCAGGGGUGAAAUCCCGGGGCUCAACCUCGGAACUGCCCUUGAUACUGCAAAUCUCGAGUCCGAUAGAGGUGAGUGGAAUUCUUGGUGUAGCGGUGAAAUGCGUAGAUAUCAAGAGGAACACCUGAGGCGAAGGCGGGUUGCUGGGCUGAUACUGACGCUGAAGCGCGAAAGCUAGGGUAGCAAACGGGAUUAGAUACCCUAGUAGUCCCUGAGCGGGCUGGCAAGGCGCAU